AUUGAACGCUGGCGGCAGGCCUAACACAUGCAAGUCGAGCGAGCGGCGGACGGGUGAGUAAUGUAUGGGGACUGCCCGAUAGAGGGGGAUAACUACUGGAAACGGUGGCUAAUACCGCAUACUAUCGGAUAACCCAUAUGGGAUUAGCUAGUAGGUGGGGUAAAGGCUCACCUAGGCGACGAUCUCUAGCUGGUCUGAGAGGAUGAUCAGCCAAACGUGGACGUAGACACGGCACAGACUCCUACGGAGGCAGCAGUGAAGAAUAUGGCACAAUGGGCACAAGCCUGAUGCAGGCAUGACACGUGUAUGAAGAAGGCCUUAGGAUUGUAAAGUACUUUCAGAGGGGAGGCGUUACCAGCAGAAGAAGCACCGGCUAACUCCGUGCCAGCAGCCGCGGUAAUUC
rnacentral:rRNA from 1 species